GACGGAAGGGUGCAGCGUGUCUCGGAAUCACUGGGCGUAAAGGGUGCGUAGGCGGGUCUUUAAGUCAGGGGUGAAAUCCUGGAGCUCAACUCCAGAACUGCCUUUGAUACUGAGGAUCUUGAGUUCGGGAGAGGUGAGUGGAACUGCGAGUGUAGAGGUGAAAAUUCGUAGAUAUUCGCAAGAACACCAGUGGCGAAGGCGGCUCACUGGCCCGAUACUGACGCUGAGGCACGGAAAGCGUGGGGAGCAAACAGGG
rnacentral:rRNA from 1 species